GACGAACGCUGGCGGCGCGCUUAACACAUGCAAGUCGAGCGAGAACCCACCUUCGGGUGGGGGAAAGCGGCGAACGGGUGAGUAACACGUGGGUAACCCACCCUUGGUACCGGGAUAGCCCGGGGAAACCCGGAUUAAUACCGGAUGGCCCAACAGCCUCUCGGGGCGGUUGGAAAAGGUAGCUUCGGCCUCCGACCAAGGACGGGCCCGCGGCGGAUUAGCUUGUUGGUGGGGUAAUGGCCUACCAAGGCGACGAUCCGUAGCUGGUCUGAGAGGACGAUCAGCCACACUGGGACUGAGACACGGCCCAGACUCCUACGGGAGGCAGCAGUGGGGAAUCUUGCGCAAUGGGCGAAAGCCUGACGCAGCGACGCCGCGUGAGGGAAGAAGGCUUUCGGGUUGUAAA
rnacentral:rRNA from 1 species